CGACGUUGUCGAAAUCUCACCAUGGACCCGCGACACGCGUCUCUAGUACGCGGCACGCCGGACUGUAAGGAUCUCCGUUUUCGCCGUCUUUAGUUCUUCAUCUUCCUCGUCUGACGUAUUUCACAUCGUCGCUUGCUUCUUUGGGGCCAAAUCUUAGAGAAAUUCAAAAUCCCGCCGAUUUUAUCAGGGAAUCUGAGAGUGAAAAUCGAAUUCUCUGAGAUUCGCUGACAAAGGCAGCUUUGGGUCGAGAUUGUUGCCGGAAACAGCCACGGUGAAAGACUGCUUCUCGUUCACAGACUUCAUUGAUAGAACACUAGGGGAUACCUUAACACUUAGUUUAGAUCCGUGAUUC